rnacentral:rRNA from 1 species
GUUGAGGAAGAUAAUGACGGUACUCAACAAGGAAGUGACGGCUAACUACGUGCCAGCAGCCGCGGUAAAACGUAGGUCACAAGCGUUGUCCGGAAUUACUGGGUGUAAAGGGAGCGCAGGCGGGAAGACAAGUUGGAAGUGAAAUCCAUGGGCUCAACCCAUGAACUGCUUUCAAAACUGUUUUUCUUGAGUAGUGCAGAGGUAGGCGGAAUUCCCGGUGUAGCGGUGGAAUGCGUAGAUAUCGGGAGGAACACCAGUGGCGAAGGCGGCCUACUGGGCACCAACUGACGCUGAGGCUCGAAAGUGUGGGUAGCAAACAGGAUUAGAUACCCUGGUAGUCCACACUGUAAACGAUGAUUACUAGGUGUUGGAGGAUUGACCCCUUCAGUGCCGCAGUUAACACAAUAAGUAAUCCACCUGGGGAGUACGACCGCAAGGUUGAAACUCAAAGGAAUUGACGGGGGCCCGCACAAGCAGUGGAGUAUGUGGUUUAAUUCGACGCAACGCGAAGAACCUUACCAAGUCUUGACAUCCUGCGACGGUGCUGGAAACAGUACUUUCCUUCGGGACGCAGAGACAGGUGGUGCAUGGUUGUCGUCAGCUCGUGUCGUGAGAUGUUGGGUUAAGUCCCGCAACGAGCGCAACCCUUAUGGUCAGUUACUACGCAAGAGGACUCUGGCCAGACUGCGUUGACAAA